rnacentral:rRNA from 1 species
GAUGAACGCUGGCGGCGUGCUUAACACAUGCAAGUCGAACGAAACACCUUAUUUGAUUUUCUUCGGAACUGAAGAUUUGGUGAUUGAGUGGCGGACGGGUGAGUAACGCGUGGGUAACCUGCCCUGUACAGGGGGGAUAACAGUUAGAAAUGACUGCUAAUACCGCAUAAGACCACAGCACCGCAUGGUGCAGGGGUAAAAACUCCGGUGGUACAGGAUGGACCCGCGUCUGAUUAGCUGGUUGGUGAGGUAACGGCUCACCAAGGCGACGCUCAGUAGCCGGCUUGAGAGAGUGAACGGCCAAAUUGGUACUGAGACACGGCCCAAACUCCUACGGGGGGCAGCAGUGGGGGAUAUUGCACAAGGGGGGAAACCCUGAUGCAGCGACGCCGCGUGAGUGAAGAAGUAUCUCGGUAUGUAAAGCUCUAUCAGCAGGGAAGAAAAUGACGGUACCUGACUAAGAAGCCCCGGCUAACUACGUGCCAGCCGCCGCCGUAA